rnacentral:rRNA from 1 species
CUUGUGACGGCGUACCUUUUGUAUAAUGGGUCAUCGACUUGGUCUAUCUAGCAAGCUUAAGCCGGUAGGUGUAGGCGCAGCGAAAGCGAGUCUUAAUAGGGCGUCGAGUUAGAUGGAUCAGACCCGAAACCGAGUGAUCUAGGCAUGACCAGGAUGAAGGUAAGGUAACACUUGCUGGAGGUCCGAACCCACACCUGUUGAAAAAGGUCGGGAUGAGUUGUGCCUAGGGGUGAAAGGCCAAUCAAACUCGGAGAUAGCUGGUUCUCCGCGAAAUCUAUUUAGGUAGAGCGUCAUCCGAAUACCCCGGGGGUAGAGCACUGGAUGGGUAAUGGGGCCCCACAGGCUUACUGAUCCUAACCAAACUCCGAAUACCCGGGAGUACUAGAUGGCAGACACACUGCGGAUGCUAACGUCCGUAGUGGAGAGGGAAACAACCCUGACCUACAGCUAAGGCCCCCAAUUCAUGGCUAAGUGGGAAAGCAGGUGGGACGACCAAAACAACCAGGAGGUUGGCUUAGAAGCAGCCAUCCUUUAAAGAUAGCGUAACAGCUCACUGGUCUAAACAAGUUGUCCUGCGGCGAAGAUGUAACGGGGCUCAAGCCAUGAGCCGAAGCUUAGGAUGCCGUAAGGCAUGGUAGCGGAGCGUAGUGUGAUAUAGGACUUAUCCUUUACUGCCGCCGGUCGUACGGAGCGUGGAAACGCGCUCAAGUAGCCGAUAGGCGGUAGCGCAGGAGAAAGUCUUUUCUGUGAAGCCGGCCUGUGAGGGAUCCGGUGGAGAGAUCACUAGCGAGAAUGAUGACAUGAGUAGCGACAAAGAGUGUGAGAGACACUCUCGCCGAAAGUCCAAGGGUUCCUGCUUAAAGCUAAUCUGAGCAGGGUAAGCCGACCCCUAAGGCGAGGCCGAAAGGCGUAGUCGAUGGGAACCAGGUUAAUAUUCCUGGGCCAGGAGGAUGUGACGGAUUGUGGCGGCGUGCGUGCCUUAUCGGAUUGGCGCGUAUCCAAGACAGUCCCAGGAAAUAGCCCUCCAUGAGAUCGUACCCUAAACCGACACAGGUGGACUGGUAGAGAAUACCAAGGCGCUUGAGAGAACGAUGUUGAAGGAACUCGGCAAAAUACCUCCGUAAGUUCGCGAGAAGGAGGCCCGGUACACGACUACCGGGGGCACAAACCAGGGGGUGGCGACUGUUUAUUAAAAACACAGGGCUCUGCGAAGUCGCAAGACGACGUAUAGGGUCUGACGCCUGCCCGGUGCCUGAAGGUUAAAAGGAGGGGUGCAAGCUCCGAAUUGAAGCCCAGGUAAACGGCGGCCGUAACUAUAACGGUCCUAAGGUAGCGAAAUUCCUUGUCGGGUAAGUUCCGACCUGCACGAAUGGCGUAACGACUUCCCCGCUGUCUCCAACAUCGACUCAGCGAAAUUGAAUUGCCUGUCAAGAUGCAGGCUUCCCGCGGUUAGACGGAAAGACCCCGUGCACCUUCACUACAGCUUCGCACUGGCAUCAGGCACAACAUGUGCAGGAUAGGUGGUAGGCUUUGAAGCAGGGACGCCAGUCCCUGUGGAGCCUCCCUUGAGAUACCACCCUUGUUCUGCUUGAUGUCUAACCGCGGCCCGUUAUCCGGGUCCGGGACCCUGCGUGGUGGGUAGUUUGACUGGGGCGGUCGCCUCCUAAAGCGUAACGGAGGCGCGCGAAGGUUGGCUCAGAGCGGUCGGAAAUCGCUCGUUGAGUGCAAUGGCAGAAGCCAGCCUGACUGCAAGACUGACAAGUCGAGCAGAGUCGAAAGACGGCCAUAGUGAUCCGGUGGUCCCAAGUGGGAGGGCCAUCGCUCAACGGAUAAAAGGUACGCCGGGGAUAACAGGCUGAUACUGCCCAAGAGUCCAUAUCGACGGCAGUGUUUGGCACCUCGAUGUCGGCUCAUCUCAUCCUGGGGCUGGAGCAGGUCCCAAGGGUAUGGCUGUUCGCCAUUUAAAGAGGUACGUGAGCUGGGUUUAGAACGUCGUGAGACAGUUCGGUCCCUAUCUGCCGUGGGUGUAGGAUACUUGAGAGGAGUUGCCCCUAGUACGAGAGGACCGGGGUGAACGAUCCACUGGUGGACCUGUUGUUGCGCCAGCAGCAGUGCAGGGUAGCUAUGAUCGGACAGGAUAACCGCUGAAGGCAUCUAAGCGGGAAGCCCCCUCAAAACAAGGUAUCCCUGAGGACCGUGGAAGACCACCACGUCGAUAGGCCGGAGAUGUAAGCACAGCAAUGUGUUCAGUUGACCGGUACUAAUGGUCCGAUAGGCUUGAUU